GCGUGAGUGAAGAAGGCCUUAGGGUUGUAAAGCUCUUUCAGCAGGGAAGAUGAUGACGGUACCUGCAGAAGAAGCCCCGGCCAACUCCGUGCCAGCAGCCGCGGUAAUACGGAGGGGGCAAGCGUUGUUCGGAAUUACUGGGCGUAAAGCGCGCGUAGGCGGUUAGCAUAGUCAGGCGUGAAAUCCCGGGGCUCAACCCCGGAACUGCGCUUGAUACUGGCUAACUAGAGGUCUGGAGAGGGUAGUGGAAUUCCCAGUGUAGAGGUGAAAUUCGU
rnacentral:rRNA from 1 species